rnacentral:rRNA from 2 species
AUCAUGGCUCAGGAUGAACGCUGGCGGCGUGCCUAAUACAUGCAAGUCGAGCGAAUGGAUUAAGAGCUUGCUCUUAUGAAGUUAGCGGCGGACGGGUGAGUAACACGUGGGUAACCUGCCCAUAAGACUGGGAUAACUCCGGGAAACCGGGGCUAAUACCGGAUAACAUUUUGAACCGCAUGGUUCGAAAUUGAAAGGCGGCUUCGGCUGUCACUUAUGGAUGGACCCGCGUCGCAUUAGCUAGUUGGUGAGGUAACGGCUCACCAAGGCAACGAUGCGUAGCCGACCUGAGAGGGUGAUCGGCCACACUGGGACUGAGACACGGCCCAGACUCCUACGGGAGGCAGCAGUAGGGAAUCUUCCGCAAUGGACGAAAGUCUGACGGAGCAACGCCGCGUGAGUGAUGAAGGCUUUCGGGUCGUAAAACUCUGUUGUUAGGGAAGAACAAGUGCUAGUUGAAUAAGCUGGCACCUUGACGGUACCUAACCAGAAAGCCACGGCUAACUACGUGCCAGCAGCCGCGGUAAUACGUAGGUGGCAAGCGUUAUCCGGAAUUAUUGGGCGUAAAGCGCGCGCAGGUGGUUUCUUAAGUCUGAUGUGAAAGCCCACGGCUCAACCGUGGAGGGUCAUUGGAAACUGGGAGACUUGAGUGCAGAAGAGGAAAGUGGAAUUCCAUGUGUAGCGGUGAAAUGCGUAGAGAUAUGGAGGAACACCAGUGGCGAAGGCGACUUCUGGUCUGUAACUGACA